rnacentral:rRNA from 1 species
AGACUAGAGUGCAGUAGGGGAGACUGGAAUUCCUGGUGUAGCGGUGGAAUGCGCAGAUAUCAGGAGGAACACCGAUGGCGAAGGCAGGUCUCUGGGCUGUUACUGACGCUGAGGAGCGAAAGCAUGGGGAGCGAACAGGAUUAGAUACCCUGGUAGUCCAUGCCGUAAACGUUGGGCACUAGGUGUGGGGGACAUUCCACGUUUUCCGCGCCGUAGCUAACGCAUUAAGUGCCCCGCCUGGGGAGUACGGCCGCAAGGCUAAAACUCAAAGGAAUUGACGGGGGCCCGCACAAGCGGCGGAGCAUGCGGAUUAAUUCGAUGCAACGCGAAGAACCUUACCAAGGCUUGACAUAUACCGGAUCGUUCCAGAGAUGGUUCUUCCCCUUUGGGGUCGGUAUACAGGUGGUGCAUGGUUGUCGUCAGCUCGUGUCGUGAGAUGUUGGGUUAAGUCCCGCAACGAGCGCAACCCUCGUUCCAUGUUGCCAGCACGUGAUGGUGGGGACUCAUGGGAGACUGCCGGGGUCAACUCGGAGGAAGGUGGGGAUGACGUCAAAUCAUCAUGCCCCUUAUGUCUUGGGCUUCACGCAUGCUACAAUGGCCGGUACAAAGGGUUGCGAUACUGUGAGGUGGAGCUAAUCCCAAAAAGCCGGUCUCAGUUCGGAUUGAGGUCUGCAACUCGACCUCAUGAAGUCGGAGUCGCUAGUAAUCGCAGAUCAGCAACGCUGCGGUGAAUACGUUCCCGGGCCUUGUACACACCGCCCGUCAAGUCACGAAAGUCGGUAACACCCGAAGCCGGUGGCCC